UACGUAGGGACCGAGCGUUGUCCGGAUUCAUUGGGCGUAAAGAGCGUGUAGGCGGCUCGAUAAGUCUGCUGUGAAAGUCCAGGGCUCAACCCUGGAAGGCCGGUGGAAACUGUCGGGCUAGAGUUCGGAAGAGGCGAGUGGAAUUCCCGGUGUAGCGGUGAAAUGCGCAGAUAUCAGGAGGAACACCAAUUGCGAAGGCAGCUCGCUGGGACGUUACUGACGCUGAGACGCGAAAGCGUGGGGAGCAAACAGG
rnacentral:rRNA from 1 species